GAGUUUGAUCCUGGCUCAGGACGAACGCUGGCGGCGUGCCUAACACAUGCAAGUCGAGCGAUGAAGCUUCCUUCGGGAAGUGGAUUAGCGGCGGACGGGUGAGUAACACGUGGGUAACCUGCCUCAAAGUGGGGAAUAGCCUUCCGAAAGGAAGAUUAAUACCGCAUAACGUAAGAGAAUCGCAUGAUUUUCUUACCAAAGAUUUAUCGCUUUGAGAUGGACCCGCGGCGCAUUAGCUAGUUGGUGAGGUAACUGCUCACCAAGGCAACGAUGCGUAGCCGACCUGAGAGGGUGAUCGGCCACAUUGGAACUGAGACACGGUCCAGACUCCUACGGGAGGCAGCAGUGGGGAAUAUUGCGCAAUGGGGGAAACCCUGACGCAGCAACGCCGCGUGAGUGAUGAAGGUCUUCGGAUUGUAAAGCUCUGUUUUCUAGGACGAUAAUGACGGUACUAGAAGAGGAAGCCACGGCUAACUACGUGCCAGCAGCCGCGGUAAUACGUAGGUGGCGAGCGUUGUCCGGAUUUACUGGGCGUAAAGGGUGCGUAGGCGGAUUCUUAAGUGGGAUGUGAAGUACCCGAGCUUAACUUGGGUGCUGCAU
rnacentral:rRNA from 1 species